GGACGAACGCUGGCGGCGUGCCUAAUACAUGCAAGUCGAACGGUCUUUCUAUGGAAGCUUGCUUCCACUGAGAAGAUAGUGGCGAACGGGUGAGUAACACGUGGGUAACCUGCCCAUAAGAGGGGGGAUAACAUCCGGAAACGGGUGCUAAUACCGCAUAGUUUUCUUGAUUGCAUGAUUGAGAAAGGAAAGACGGCCUUUGUGCUGUCGCUUAUGGAUGGACCCGCGGCGUAUUAGUUAGUUGGUGAGGUAACGGCUCACCAAGACGAUGAUACGUAGCCGACCUGAGAGGGUGAUCGGCCACAUUGGGACUGAGACACGGCCCAAACUCCUACGGGAGGCAGCAGUAGGGAAUCUUCCGCAAUGGACGAAAGUCUGACGGAGCAACGCCGCGUGAGUGAAGAAAAGGUUUUCGGAUCGUAAAACUCUGUUGUCAGAGAAGAACAAGUUGGAGAGUAACUGCUCCAGCCUUGACGGUAUCUGACCAGAAAGCCACGGCUAACUACGUGCCAGCCGCAGC
rnacentral:rRNA from 1 species